UUUCCAGGAUUUUCUUUAAAUUCAAGUUAGUUAAUAUAUGGUGUAGUAUGGGUUUCAGGAGUAGUAUUUAGUGAUUCCUCACUUACAUAUAACACUCAGUGCUCAUCACAACAAGUGCCCUCCUCAAUACCCAUCACCC